UACGGAGGGUGCGAGCGUUGUCCGGAAUCACUGGGCGUAAAGGGCGCGUAGGUGGCCUGUGGAAGUCUGCGGUGAAAGCCCGGCGCUCAACGCCGGGUCGGCCGUGGAUACUCUCGGGCUUGAGCUUACUAGAGGCAGAUGGAAUUCCGGGUGUAGCGGUGGAAUGCGUAGAGAUCCGGAAGAACACCGGUGGCGAAGGCGGUCUGCUGGGGUAAUGCUGGACACUGAGGCGCGACAGCGUGGGGAGCAAACAGG
rnacentral:rRNA from 1 species